AAGUAGGAACCUCCUGCUGGGCUCGUGACGGCUUCUGUGCGCUCCGCGGCGGGAAGCGCCUUCCCCACAGAUCACCCCCCAACUUGCCCUUCAAGUUCUACUUCAGUUUGAUAAGGCUAUAAAUGCAGCAUUGGCUCAGAGGGUCAGGAACAGAGUCAAUUUCAGGGGCUCUCUAAAUACGUACAGAUUCUGCGAUAAUGUGUGGACUUUUGUACUGAAUGAUGUUGAAUUCAGAGAGGUGACAGAACUUAUUAAAGUGGAUAAAGUGAAAAUUGUAGCCUGUGAUGGUAAAA
rnacentral:sRNA from 1 species